UUGGGAUGGAGAAAAAAUGAUUUAUGGAGACGGAGAUGGAAAAACCUUUAUCUCACUUGCAGGUUCCCUAGAUGUUAUUGCACAUGAGAUAACCCAUGCAGUGACCCAGUAUACAGCCAAUCUGGAAUAUCGGAAUGAAUCAGGAGCAUUAAAUGAAUCUAUUUCCGAUAUUAUAGGAGUAAUGGUCGAUGCAGAUGACUGGUUGUUAGGUGAGGAUGUAUACACACCAAACAAACCAGGAGAUGCUCUUCGAUCCGUGUCAGAUCCGACGAAGUACAACCAACCUGAUCACUAUGACGAUCGAUACCUAGGUUGGCAAGACAAUGGUGGCGUUC
rnacentral:misc_RNA from 1 species